rnacentral:rRNA from 1 species
GUGGCGGACGGGUGAGGAACGCGUGAGAACCUGCCUCAAGGUCAGGGACAACAGUUGGAAACGACUGCUAAUACCGGAUGAGCCUUCGGGUAAAAGAUUUAUCGCCUAGAGAGGGGCUCGCGUCUGAUUAGCUAGAUGGUGAGGUAAAGGCUUACCAUGGCGACGAUCAGUAGCUGGUCUGAGAGGAUGAGUAGCCACACUGGGACUGAGACACGGCCCAGACUCCUACGGGAGGCAGCAGUGGGGAAUUUUCCGCAAUGGGCGAAAGCCUGACGGAGCAAUACCGCGUGAGGGAGGAAGGCUCUUGGGUUGUAAACCUCAAAACUUAGGGAAGAAAAAAAUGACGGUACCUAAUGUAAGCAUCGGCUAACUCCGUGCCAGCAGCCACGGUAAUACGGAGGAUGCAAGCGUUAUCCGGAAUCAUUGGGCGUAAAGAGUCCGUAGGUGGCACUUCAAGUCUGCUUUCAAAGACCGAAGCUCAACUUCGGAAAGGGAGUGGAAACUGAAGAGCUAGAGUAUAGUAGGGGUAGAGGGAAUUCCUAGUGUAGCGGUGAAAUGCGUAGAGAUUAGGAAGAACACCAGUGGCGAAGGCGCUCUACUGGGCAUAUACUGACACUGAGGGACGAAAGCUAGGGGAGCGAAAGGGAUUAGAUACCCCUGUAGUCCUA